UGCCACAUGCAUCAUACUAUGCCAUCUACAUCGUAGCAAGUUCAAUCUGCCUAUGAUACUGUGUGUAUAUAGAUAGCAGCUGACUCAAUCUUUUAGGGGCCAGUGGAUCAUUCUUGUGACGGGUUAGCACCCGUUAGUAGUUAACUUACGCAACCAACUCCCCUUCUACACCCGUUCGCCCUUCUCAUUGCGAUCCCGCUCGCGUAGUUCCUAACGAUUCCUCCGCGUAACCCUUAAUGUUCUUCCGCUCCGCGCUCCACUGUGGCGCGGCUUCUGAUAUUCCUCCGUCCUGAUCUCCCCUCUAUAAGAACCCCUUCAUACGACCUUUCCUUCUGAUCUCUUUUCUCUUUCUUUCUUUAAUCGAUUCGUAAACUGUAUUUAGGAUAGUGCUUAGUCUGUUAAUCAGUAGUACGCCCGUUACAAUUCUGUUAUAGUGCUGCUAUUUUAGCAAAGAAAAACAAGAAAUUAAGAGCUGCAAAUGAGAAGCAAAAGAGAAAGUGAGAGAAAGAUUAUAUAUAUAGCUCAGAAAGAUGUUUUAAGAGUUAAAAGAAGAAAUAGAUUGUAUACAAAUUAUCAAUAAAGAGAAAAGAGA
rnacentral:sRNA from 1 species